AUUGAACGCUGGCGGCAGGCCUAACACAUGCAAGUCGAACGGUAACAGGAAGAAGCUUGCUUCUUUGCUGACGAGUGGCGGACGGGUGAGUAAUGUCUGGGAAACUGCCUGAUGGAGGGGGAUAACUACUGGAAACGGUAGCUAAUACCGCAUAAUGUCGCAAGACCAAAGAGGGGGACCUUCGGGCCUCUUGCCAUCGGAUGUGCCCAGAUGGGAUUAGCUAGUAGGUGGGGUAACGGCUCACCUCGGCGACGAUCCCUAGCUGGUCUGAGAGGAUGACCAGCCACACUGGAACUGAGACACGGUCCAGACUCCUACGGGAGGCAGCAGUGGGGAAUAUUGCACAAUGGGCGCAAGCCGGAUGCAGCUAUGCCGCGUGUAUGAAGAAGGCCUUCGGGUUGUAAAGUACUUUCAGCGGGGAGGAAGGGAGUAAAGUUAAUACCUUGGCUGAUUGACGUUACCCGCAGAAGAAGCACCGGCUAACUCCGUG
rnacentral:rRNA from 1 species